rnacentral:rRNA from 1 species
AAUCAACGCUGGCGGCGUGCCUCAGACAUGCAAGUCGAACGCGAAAGUCCCCUCGGGGACGAGUAGAGUGCGCACGGGUGAGUAACACGUAGGUAAUCCACCUUCGGAGUGGGGAAGUAACAACCGGAAACGGUUAGCUAAUACCGCAUAAUGCAGCGGCACCUAAUGGUGACAGUUGUUAAAGCGGGGAGUCGAAAGACCUCGCGUCUGAAGAGGAGCCUGCGGCGGAUUAGCAGUUGGUAAGGUAACGGCUUACCAAGGCGACGAUCCGUAGCCGGCCUGAGAGGGCGGUCGGCCACACUGACACUGACAUACGGGUCAGACUCCUACGGGAGGCAGCAGUC